rnacentral:sRNA from 1 species
UUAACAUCGGAAUGGCAACACACUUUGAGAUUGAUUAUUCAAAUCACACAUUAAUUGCUGUGGGAUUUCUUGAUGUAGGUUUAAUUUAAUUAAUGAUCCAAUAAUUAAUUAAUAGUGAUCCAUCCCACCUCGGGACAAAACGUCAAAACGUCCCACUUUUAAAAUAUGGUAAAGAAAUAGGAAAUCCCGACGAUCAAGAGGGGAUUGGGGUGGAGAGGAAAUAUCCUGGAUAUAUGGCACAUAAAAAUUCAAAAAACCCUGAACACAAUAAAUUAGACCCCCCCCUCCCCCGCUCCUUGGCACUUAAUUUUUAGUUGAUGAAUUUAUGAGUCACUAAACCUGGUUUGGUUUGUUUAAACAACUAAUUCUAUCAUUAGAAAAAUGAAGCUAGGUACAUCAAAAUGCAGAGGACUUAAGACAAGAAUCAAUGAAGAAGUUAAUCCGAGCAGUAACUCUGACUACUUUGAAACCUUACAAAAACUUGCCGCGGAGCUAUUGUUGCAGAGGAUUCUGAGGGAGUGCAGUUUGAUGAAGAGCUCACAGAUUUUACUGAUGCAUAUUAAUCUCCAGAAUAUGGAUACAAUGUAGAUUCCAGUAUGGUUGAAAAUCCGGAUUGUAGACCAUUCCCCCUUUUCAGGGUUUAAUCAGUAAUACAAGUACCGCAGAUAACUACAAUCAACUGGACCACGAUGCACAAGUCAAAGUGUUUGGGUUUUUUUUUGAAUGUUCUUGUGACGGAGUUGCAAGGUGUCACAUAUGGACACUCAUCAUCAGAUUCCAGCUUGAUGAAAGCCCAACAGCAGUCAGUAAAUUUCCAGCAGCAGCCUACGGGUGAAAGUGAUCAGCAUUAUGCAGGCGAGAUCAUUAUCAACAAUUGGUGGGGAAAAUACAAAUGCAACAGUAAGGAGACUCUUAUUACACAUGAUAAAAAAUCCACUAGCGACCAAAAUCAACUGGGUUGGAAAAGGGGGAAAACUGCUUUCUCUUCCUUGCAAUAUAAGGAAGUAUUGAAAGAAAUAGUGAGGAAAAUCGUCUUUGCCCCAAUGCGACCG